rfam:TPA: Bos taurus chromosome 1, whole genome shotgun sequence.
UCCCUGGUGGCUCAGUUGGUAAAGAAUCUGCCUGCAAUGCAGAAGACCUGGGUUUGAUCCCUGGGUUGGGAA